UUUAACGGCCGCGGAAAAGGAAACAACGGAAAUUGGUGUCGCCGCAGACAGUUUACGCCGUUAAAGUUAAACGUUCAGUACUUACCCUACUCUUUGAUUCGGCAAAGACGUUAUAUUAGAGUAGUGUUCCAAAUCAGACAAGUGCGGAGCAAGCGAAAACUUCCGAGAAUCUUUUGCUUCAGAAAGCUCGGCGAAAAGAGCGAUCAGCUAGCGGAAGCAAAACACAAAUCGUUGCCGAGCUUGCAGUUUUCCAUUUUGAAUUACCCAUUUUCAGGUACGUUUUCUUGUUCACUUCUGUUCUGGCCACGAAAUAUUUUUGUGUUGUAUUCGGUUCAUUCGGUUUUAUCAUUUUUUUGAGUUGCAUUUGCCACAAGUGUUGAAGACAGGCCAACGAGCUGAUAAAACAAGAUGUGAAAGUAGAGCCACUAUUAGCCAUUAGCCACUAGCCACUAGGCAAAAACCAUCGACAAUUUUCGCGUGGUCGCAGCCAGUCUGUGAGCCGCCACAGAGCGGGGCUAAUCAUCGCUAAACAAACGCUGAAAAGCAACCCUCGUACAAAUUCAAACGCAGAGAAAUGCCGACGAUCCGCGCACUUCCUGUGGCAUCAGCGGAAGCGCGUACACCACCGAACCAAUUAGCGGCAACAAUGUCAAAGACGUCAGCAGCAUCCGAAUCGUCCGCAACGGCAGUGGCAUCGACAUCGACGACAACUACUAGCCACAAAAGUAGAUCAAUUCUAAGUUUAUUUAUAGUAAUCGCAUGGAACUCUCUGCAAGAAUUGGCCAGUGACGGGAAUGACGAUGGCUGUGUCAGGGCUGCUGGCGACCAUGGCCGUGACGUCAAUGCGGACCGAGUGAGACAUAGACGCACGCCCGGUACUCGCGAUCCAAGUGACGAGGUGUCAAUGGCACGUGAACACCAUAAGCAGCAAGGCAAACAGAAACCCCUAUCUGGUUCUAGUCCACAUCGGAGGAGGACCCGCCUGCGAGCCACUUCUCAAGCGGUGUCGAUGGCUCUGUUUGCUUUCGGAUUGCUGCUACUUAAUAUGCGGCCGGCGGCGGAGCUGUUGUUUGUAUCGCAUUCACUGCUUGGCAUGCCGGGUCGAUCAAAACAAAACAAACAGAUCAAAAAAAGACCGGCCCGCGAAUUCCCCCUCCAGCAUGCUGCGGUAUUUGGGAUCGUUGGAACGACUUCUGCCUCAAGUUAGUAAGCGGCAGGAACACUCCCUACGGAUUCCAUUUGCCGGCACCUGCUGGCAGACCCACCUGGGCAGCGGCAAGUGCAGCCAGAUACCGAUCUCCUACCGAUCGCGAGCUGAGCAGCGUGGAGUACUUCUUUGCGACGGCCAUCGGAGGCGGCGUCGAGUGCGCUCCGUGCAUUGCGCACGAACACAAAUAGAAAUAUUGGCAAUUGAUCCUCCACAAAUGAUGCCUUUGGCGAAAUCUUAGACGAAAUUAACUGGGUCUCACACCGGGCAUCUUCUGUACAGGCGUUGAUUUGAAGGAGCGUACAGGCAUUUGAGUUUGAGUUCACUAGCAUUGAACAAUUUCCGAUGCCCGUAAUCGCCGCAUUGGAUGGCGCUGCUUUGGGUGGUGGUCGGGAAAUGGCCUUGGCAUGCGAUAUACGCACGGCAGCUUCAAAGGCUCGCCGGGGAAAUCCUGCAAAACGAUCCAGCGGGAGUGCGAAUGGCCAAACUGGCCAUUGAAAAAGGAACAGCACAGAUAUUCUUGCCGUACAGCGGGAGCGGAACAACAUUAGAUGUCGACCAACCAGUCGAUAGCAAUGACAAUGCCAUCCGGCCCAACGAGACCCGGAGCCACGAUCCUUUGCACAUAGGAGCCAUUGAGAAAGUCACGAUCGAGAUGCGGCCAAUGUGCUCCUGGCGGGAGAACAGCAGGAAGGCAGCCGGAACCACAAAGAUUCGCUUGAAAUUACCUCCUAAAUAUAGGCCGUUUGUACUUGUUGGUCAUGGGAGGUUUUAUAAAGCUGUUAAACUUUUGUUUAACGAUGAAAUGGCAGCGCUCUUUUAUUUGGUUGUUCCGCAUUGCAUUCAACCCGUCAAAAAUGUUGUAAAAAUAUUACUUUUGUUUUUUGGGCAUGGGCGAGGUGCGCACUCGGGAUAUUUCGGCUGAGGCUCGUCUUUCGUCAUUAUUACUUCUAAAUGAUUUGCGUGGUAGGGAGAAGCUAGAAUUCCGGGAUAGAGAAUACCACUUAACAUUGAUUUCAUUAUCCCCAAAAAAAACAAGAGAAGAACUCAAUCCGUUUGCCUCUGCUGGUUCUGUUAGUCUGCCUCGAUCUCAGGCCGUACUUGUCCUACCUACCAUUGGCCAGUCUGCCCCCAGGCAGAAUCCAAAUGCCCCUGUUCUACGGCAUGGGGUUAGCCGAUGUCAAACUCUACGCUGUUUAGAACAUUAUAAAAUACAUUUAUUCACUAAAAGAAAAUUUUACCAUUUCCCAUGGGUUAUAAACGUACAGAAACA